GAUGCUGAACAUAAUGGCCCUCGUCUCGUAACAGACAAGAAGUGUAAGCUCCCUUAACAGGCUGUUAUUUGGGAACUAACCAACAGACACUGUGUGAGUCUCUUCUACAAGCUGAAUAUCUGAAGAUGUUAAAACCUCCCUGUGGGAUUGGCCUUCUUUUUUCUUAAUUUUGAGAUGGAAAAACACUGUUUUGAAUUUCUUCUUCACUCCAGUUGGCCAGCUUGGUUGCAAAAAAGGAGCGAUGUUUCCAGCCUCAUGGAUGAUCCAAGGAAGUUAUUCCUCAGCUUUCAGGAAGAAGCUGGAGCCAGUGGAAAUGUUACAACCCUGAAAGGGGAAUAAUGGAACAGGACUGAAGCUUUUAGGAUUAUAGCACUACCUCCCAUACAACUGAAAGGAAAUGGAUAACUAUGUGUGGAAACAGAGAGGCAGUGGUGACCAGUGUGCCCCAGACCUCGUCCUUUGUGCUGCUGCCUCUGGGCCGUGGAGUCCCAGCAAACACCUCAUACAGCUUUACUUCCUUCAUUGUUGUUUUUUUCUUUAAUUUUACUUUAUUUCUAAUUGCCUCAUCUUGAAUGAGCUUCCAGUGUCUAAAAUUAGAAUUCUUCAGAAUCCUAAGAAGAUCUAAGGAGACAUUAAAUGUGUUCCAUUUUCCAAAAGACAAAUCUGGAACAUUUAAAUUGUUUACUAAAGGUCAUAUAAUACUAGGAUUCAAAGUUCUUUACCAUUGGGACAUUUUAUCUAAGGAAUGAUUAGGAUUAUAUACAUCACACUACCUUUCAAUCAGAAAUUUAUCAAGAAAAACCUGCCAUAUAGUAUGACCUUUGGCUUUUAUAAUUCAGAUUGAAAGAAUGCUUGCUCAUUUUGCCACUGAGCACAUUAGCAUCCUGUAUCUUCACAAGGUUAAUUUAAUGGACUGCUAUGCAUAUUGAUGAAUACUUCUGUGUUUUCUCAAAGUCACCAAAUUAGAAUUUCUGAAUGUUCAUUAGCCACAUAUGCAAUAGGAGUAGUCUAAAGUCAAUGAAUUUCUGUUAUGCCAUUUCUAAAACUGAUAUUAAAAUUGCAUAUGCAAAUUUAAGUUCAAAUUGUUGUGAUAAAAGUAGACAUGUAAGUAAAAAAACUCAUUAUUUUCAUUUUUCAAAGUUACUAAGUUCAUUAAUGGUUAUUUAUUGGGUUAAGACAUUGAAUCAGAAAAUGGGCCUCUGUCUUUCUCUGAGUAUUCAAGUUUAGAAAUGCCUUACUUAAAAUGCAAGAAAUUUCCAGUAAGUUUCCAGGCUGCAGAGAUACAUUAUUUAUGUUAACAAACUGGAAAGAGUUCAUUUGCUUUAAUAUUUAUAAGGGAGAUCAAUGAGACAUACAAUGCAGUAUUACUAAGCUCUAAAACCACUACAAAACAUAGAUUCAAUUAAUGUAAUGUUAACCAAAGAAUACACUCAGCAAUUCAUAAAUAAAUAAUUAUAAUAAAUGUCCAGAUUUUUAAGACUCUUUGGAAUACCCUACUGAAGCCAGCCAUUAAGCAAUGUAUUCUGCUACCUAAAUCCAUUAAAAAAUGUAAUUUUAAGGAAAAUUACAUGCAGUCUUGCUCAGAGCAGAUUACAUAUUUUAAAGCUAUAUUGGUUUUUAAGCCUUUGAAGAUAAUAAGGAGGUUCAUUAAGCUAUUACAUUUGAGUUACUUGAAAUAUUGAAUAACCUCAGAAUGACCCAAUUCUAAAAGGUUUAAUUGGCAUGAGCUAUGCCAUGCCUUUUAAAUAAAAUAUUUUGUAAGGUAUUCAUAAAAACACUAAUUAUCAAAGCAUGUUUACAAUAGAUAAAUAAAAGUGAAAAAUUGCACUGGUAAACAAUUUGAGAAUAAAAAUGUUUGUAAAUAAAAUAUCUGAAUCAAAUGAAUUUAAAGGCUAGGGCAUUUGGAAAUACAAGAAACACAAUAUAUUUCUUUCAUAUAAAACUUUAAUAUGGGCUAGAAAAAAUAAUUUUGUUUUUUUCCCUUCAGUACAAGAUGUGAUUUAGGAGUAUAUUAAACAUUAAUCAGCAAUUAAUAAGAAUUUUGAAAAAAAUUCAAAGGAAGUGAAAGGACUUUUUCUUAAAAUAUUUAUUUUAAAUAUGAUAUAGGAAUAGCACUAUGAUCAACAUUAUUCAAAUCUGCAUGUAGUAACUUGCAAAGCAGGGAGACUGAAAUCUAGCGAUUCAGUUCGAAUGCCCUACAGCUAUCUAAUCAAGCACAAGAGUUGCCAAUCAGCAUCACUUCACAAUUGACAUACGUUUUAAUUUCAUUUAUUAAAAAACUGUAUUAAAGCAUUGCAAAUGAAUCAGUUCAUAUAUUAAAGUGCAUGUAUCAGUCAGCUCAAGGGACUUUUAAGCUUUAUCAAAUACUUUGAUCUUGAUCAUAUUGAAAUUCCUUCCAGCAGUUUAUGAAAUGUUCAUGAAUUCUUGGAUGAAGACUAACAUAAGUUUUUAGAGUUAACUUAUAUUUGGGAAUUCUUUGUACAGUUGAUAUCAAUAGGUUUUUGCAAAAAACAUUAUGACUAAUUUUUUAAUUACCAUGUAAAAUGUUAAGUAUUAUAAUUAAGUAUAAUAUUCAGAUGAGAGUCACCACAUUUUAAAAAUGUAGUAAUAAAUGUUGUGUAUACCCUUCCAUA